GGCUUCAUAGCUUAGUGGUGGAGCGUUUGCACCGGAAUCGCAAAGGUCAUGGUUCGAAUCCCGUUGGAGGCU
rnacentral:tRNA from 1 species